rnacentral:lncRNA from 1 species
CACCAUAAAACUCAAGGAAUCCAAUUCAAAACAAGUCAUGAACAAUAAACCCAAACAUAUGCUACUUCAACCUAACCAAAUCUUCCAUUUCUUCAAUUUCCCUUGCAAAAACGAAAAUGAUAACCAAGCAAUCAAUUCCAUCUCUUUCCAGCCACAAUAACAACACCAAAAUCUAGUCCCAUCCUUGUUUCAAACAUCAAAACCGAAAAUCAAGAAGAAAGAGUCCAAACCACAACACCCACACAUCAACUUAAGCUCUUUUCAACCCAAAACUCACAUAGAACUCCAUUUUUAUCAUCCAACCAAUUAAAAUGAGAUGAAAACCGAGAGAAACAGUAGCAAA